GAUGAACGCUGACAGAAUGCUUAACACAUGCAAGUCUACUUGAAUUUGGGUUUUUUAACUUCGAUUUGGGUGGCGGACGGGUGAGUAACGCGUAAAGAACUUGCCUCACAGCUAGGGACAACAUUUGGAAACGAAUGCUAAUACCUGAUAUUAUGAUUAUAAGGCAUCUUAGAAUUAUGAAAGCUAUAUGCGCUGUGAGAGAGCUUUGCGUCCCAUUAGCUAGUUGGAGAGGUAACGGCUCACCAAGGCGAUGAUGGGUAGCCGGCCUGAGAGGGUGAACGGCCACAAGGGGACUGAGACACGGCCCUUACUCCUACGGGAGGCAGCAGUGGGGAAUAUUGGACAAUGGACCAAGAGUCUCAUCCAGCAAUUCUGUGUGCACGAUGACGUUUUUCGGAAUGUAAAGUGCUUUCAGUUGGGAAGAAAAAAAUGACGGUACCAACAGAAGAAGUGACGGCUAAAUACGUG
rnacentral:rRNA from 1 species